GGACAAUCAGCCGUCCCUCACAUCACCGGAUGGAUCCAGUAAUGGGAACCCACCAGAGAGAUGUCCCCGUCCUCUGUAUUCUCGGGGUUCCAUACAGGAAGGUCACAACAUCCCCCACCAUCAUCAGAGUGGAGACCUGAGAGAUUCUAAAGUUGAGGUUAAAGAAG